UUAGGUUAAGUAAGAAAGAGCGUAUGGCGAAUGCCUAGGCACAAAGAGGCGAAGAAGGACGCAGCAAACGGCGAAACGCGACGGCGAGCAGUAAGCAGGCAAGGACCCGUCGAUGUCCGAAUGGGGGAACCCGGCAUCCGUAAUGGGAUGUCAGCGCAUGAUGAAUAAAUAGUGAUGCGUGGCGAGACGCAGGGAACUGAAACAUCUCAGUACCUGCAGGAGAAGAAAGUAAAGAACGAUUCCGUAAGUAGCGGCGAGCGAAAGCGGAGGAGCCCAAACCAUCGCAAAGAUGGGGUUAUAGGGCUGUCAGCGAAGCAGACAUGACAUGAUAGGAGAAGCUUCUGGGAAGGAGCGACGAAGAGGGUGACAUUCCCGUAUCCGAAAUCGUGAAGUGAUGCGAGACAGUACCUGAGUACGUCGGGGCACGUGGAAUCCUGACGGAAUUAUCGAGGACCAUCUCGAAAGGCUAAAUACUCCUUUGUGACCGAUAGUGAACCAGUACCGUGAGGGAAAGGUGAAAAGAACCCCGGGAGGGGAGUGAAAGAGAACCUGAAACCAUAUGCUUACAAGAAGUCAGAGCCCGUUAAGGGGUGAUGGCGUGCCUUUUGUAGAAUGAGCCGGCGAGUUAUGAUAUGCAGCGAGGUUAAGCAGGAGAUGCGGAGCCGAAGCGAAAGCGAGUCUGAAUAGGGCGAGAGUUGUAUGUCAUAGACCCGAAACCGAGUGAUCUAGCCAUGAUCAGGUUGAAGUUGGGGUAAAACCCGAUGGAGGACCGAACCGACCCCCGUUGAAACGUUGGCGGAUGAAUUGUGGCUAGGGGUGAAAUUCCAAACGAACUCGGAGAUAGCUGGUUCUCCCCGAAAUAGCUUUAGGGCUAGCGUCAGAGUGAAAGUUAUGUGAAGGUAGAGCACUGAAUAUGUGAUGGCCUCAUCCCGAGGUACUGAAUAUAAUCAAACUCCGAAUGUCACAGGAACAUAUCUGGCAGUCAGACUGCGGGUGAUAAGGUCCGUAGUCAAAAGGGAAACAGCCCAGACCAUCAGCUAAGGUCCCAAAAUAUAUGCUAAGUGGAAAAGGAUGUGGAGAUGUCCAGACAACCAGGAGGUUGGCUCAGAAGCAGCCACCCUUUAAAGAGUGCGUAACAGCUCACUGGUCGAAUGACUCUGCGCCGAAAAUUUACCGGGGCUAAGCAUAAUACCGAAGCUAUGGAUUUAUACGACAAGUAUAAGUGGUAGGGGAGCGUUCCUGUCAGCGAGGAAGCAUGACCGCAAGGACAUGUGGAGCGGCAGGAAGAGAGAAUGCCGGUGUGAGUAGCGGAACGUGGGUGAGAAUCCCACGCACCGAAUACCCAAGGUUUCCAGAGGAAGGUUCGUCCGCUCUGGGUAAGUCGGGACCUAAGGCGAGGCCGAAAGGCGUAGUCGAUGGACAACGGGUGGAGAUUCCCGUACCUGAUGAAGAGGCAAUGGAGUGACGGAGCAGGCUAGGCGAUCCAGCUGCUGGAAUAGCUGGUGCAAGCGAGGUAGGGGACAUCCAGGCAAAUCCGGAUGUUGAAACCCGAAGGCGUGAAGCGUAUGGAACAUUACGAUAAGUACAGAAGUCGCUGAAGCAAGCUUCCAAGAAAAGCUUCUAGCAAUCAACUCUUUGUCAGCCCGUACCGAAAAUGGACACACAUGGGUGAGGAGAGAAUCCUAAGGUGAGCGAGAGAACUAUAGCUAAGGAACUCUGCAAAAUGACUCCGUAACUUCGGGAGAAGGAGUGCUCAUUGAGAGAUGAGCCGCAGUAAAACGGCCCAAGCGACUGUUUACCAAAAACACAGCUCUCUGCCAAGACGCAAGUCGAAGUAUAGGGGGUGACGCCUGCCCGGUGCUGGAAGGUUAAGAGGAGUGGUCAGCGCAAGCGAAGCCAUGAAUUGAAGCCCCAGUAAACGGCGGCCGUAACUAUAACGGUCCUAAGGUAGCGAAAUUCCUUGUCAGGUAAGUUCUGACCCGCACGAAAGGCGUAACGAUUUGGGCGCUGUCUCAGCUGUAGACUCGGUGAAGUCUUAGUACCUGUGAAGAUGCAGGUUACCCGCGACUAGACGGAAAGACCCCAUGGAGCUUUACUGUAGCUUGAUAUUGGAUUUUGAUGCAUGAUGUACAGGAUAGGUAGGAGACGAAGAGACGGAUACGCCAGUAUUCGAGGAGUCGCCGUUGGGAUACUACCCUUCAUGUAUUGAAGUUCUAACCGGACGCCAUAAGCUGGCGACGGGACAGUGUCAGGUGGGCAGUUUGACUGGGGCGGUCGCCUCCCAAAGAGUAACGGAGGCGCCCAAAGAUACCCUCAGCAUGGUUGGAAAUCAUGCGUAGAGUGCAAAGGCAAAAGGGUGUUUGACUGCGAGACCAACAAGUCGAGCAGGGACGAAAGUCGGGCUUAGUGAUCCGGCGGUGCCGAAUGGAAGGGCCGUCGCUCAACGGAUAAAAGCUACCCUGGGGAUAACAGGCUGAUCUCCCCCAAGAGUUCACAUCGACGGGGAGGUUUGGCACCUCGAUGUCGGCUCAUCGCAUCCUGGAGCUGAAGUCGGUUCCAAGGGUUGGGCUGUUCGCCCAUUAAAGCGGUACGCGAGCUGGGUUCAGAACGUCGUGAGACAGUUCGGUCCCUAUCUGUCGUGGGCGUAGGAAGUUUGAGGAGAGCUGCCCUCAGUACGAGAGGACCGGGGUGGACAGACCAAUGGUGCACCAGUUGUCACGCCAGUGGCACAGCUGGGUAGCUAAGUCUGGAAGGGAUAAACGCUGAAGGCAUCUAAGUGUGAAGCCCCCUCCAAGAUGAGACUUCCCAUUCUUCGGAAGUAAGACCCCUCAAAGACGAUGAGGUUGAUAGGUCAGAGGUGUAAGCGCAGCGAUGUGCGAAGCUGACUGAUACUAAUAGGUCGAGGACUUAACCA
rnacentral:rRNA from 1 species